rnacentral:rRNA from 1 species
CAGAUGAACGCUGGCGGCAGGCCUAACACAUGCAAGUCGAACGGUAGCACAGAGGAGCUUGCUCCUGGGUGACGAGUGGCGGACGGGUGAGUAAUGUCUGGGAAACUGCCCGAUGGAGGGGGAUAACUACUGGAAACGGUAGCUAAUACCGCAUAACGUCGCAAGACCAAAGAGGGGGACCUUCGGGCCUCUUGCCAUCGGAUGUGCCCAGAUGGGAUUAGCUAGUAGGUGGGGUAACGGCUCACCUAGGCGACGAUCCCUAGCUGGUCUGAGAGGAUGACCAGCCACACUGGAACUGAGACACGGUCCAGACUCCUACGGGAGGCAGCAGUGGGGAAUAUUGCACAAUGGGCGCAAGCCUGAUGCAGCCAUGCCGCGUGUAAUGAAGAAGGCCUUCGGGUUGUAAAGUACUUUCAGCGAGGAGGAAGGUGUUGUGGUUAAUAACCGCAGCAAUUGACGUUACUCGCAGAAGAAGCACCGGCUAACUCCGUGCCAGCCGCCGC